rnacentral:rRNA from 1 species
CCUACGGGCGGCAGCAGUGAGGAAUAUUGGUCAAUGGGCGAGAGCCUGAACCAGCCAAGUCGCGUGAGGGAUAACGGUCCUAUGGAUUGUAAACCUCUUUUGUCGGGGAACAAAGGCGUCCACGUGUGGACUGAUGAGUGUACUCGAAGAAAAAGCAUCGGCUAACUCCGUGCCAGCAGCCGCGGUAAUACGGAGGAUGCGAGCGUUAUCCGGAUUUAUUGGGUUUAAAGGGUACGUAGACGGACAGUCAAGUCAGCGGUAAAAAUGCGGUGCUCAACGCCGUAUAGCAGUUGAAACUGGCAGUCUUGAGUAUGCGAGAAGUAUGCGGAAUUCGUGGUGUAGCGGUGAAAUGCAUAGAUAUCACGAAGAACUCCGAUUGCGAAGGCAGCCUACCGGAGCCCUACUGACGCUGAGGCACGAAAGCGUGGGUAUCGAACAGGAUUAGAUACCCGGGUAGUC